rnacentral:rRNA from 1 species
ACUCCUACGGGAGGCAGCAGUGGGGAAUAUUGCACAAUGGGGGAAACCCUGAUGCAGCCAUGCCGCGUGUGUGAAGAAGGCCUUCGGGUUGUAAAGCACUUUCAGUAGGGAGGAAGGUAGUGUAGUUAACACCUGCAUUAUUUGACGUUACCUACAGAAGAAGCACCGGCUAACUCCGUGCCAGCAGCCGCGGUAAUACGGAGGGUGCGAGCGUUAAUCGGAAUUACUGGGCGUAAAGCGCAUGCAGGCGGCCUGUUAAGUCAGAUGUGAAAGCCCGGGGCUUAACCUCGGAAUUGCAUUUGAAACUGGCAGGCUAGAGUCUUGUAGAGGGGGGUAGAAUUUCAGGUGUAGCGGUGAAAUGCGUAGAGAUCUGAAGGAAUACCAGUGGCGAAGGCGGCCCCCUGGACAAAGACUGACGCUCAGAUGCGAAAGUGUGGGGAGCGAAACAGGAUUAGAUACCCUGGUAGGAUAGCG